rnacentral:rRNA from 1 species
AUUGAACGCUGGCGGCAGGCUUAACACAUGCAAGUCGAGCGGGGGAAGGUAGCUUGCUACCGGACCUAGCGGCGGACGGGUGAGUAAUGCUUAGGAAUCUGCCUAUUAGUGGGGGGCAACAUCUCGAAAGGGAUGCUAAUACCGCAUACGUCCUACGGGAGAAAGCAGGGGAUCUUCGGACCUUGCGCUAAUAGAUGAGCCUAAGUCGGAUUAGCUAGUUGGUGGGGUAAAGGCCUACCAAGGCGACGAUCUGUAGCGGGUCUGAGAGGAUGAUCCGCCACACUGGGACUGAGACACGGCCCAGACUCCUACGGGAGGCAGCAGUGGGGAAUAUUGGACAAUGGGGGGAACCCUGAUCCAGCCAUGCCGCGUGUGUGAAGAAGGCCUUAUGGUUGUAAAGCACUUUAAGCGAGGAGGAGGCUACUCUAGUUAAUACCUAGGGAUAGUGGACGUUACUCGCAGAAUAAGCACCGGCUAACUCUGUGCCAGCCGCCGCGGUAACAC